AUGGGGUCUAGUACUUGCUCACUUAUGAGCUGUUGUCUUUUAUUGCAGGUGCACCAGAUCUUUGGUGGCUUUUGUGGCUGACUCCCUUGACCAUAACAGAGAUACGAGCUGUUCAUUGAUGGGGUGUAGGCUGGCUGGAAUUGCUUCAUUAGUUCAAGCAAACUUUCCAACAUCCAAAAGGACCGAGAGGCUGGCUCCACCUGGUCCAUCCCCUAACCUCCCAGCCCGUCGGACCCCUCCUGAACUGGGCCAAGACGGCUCGCGCUAAGGGCCGAGGAAGUUCUCUAGGAACGCUCGGUUGUAGCAGUUCACUUUGAACUCUCCUUUGUUUCUUUUUUUUUCAACAUAUGUAUAAUUUACUAGUUCACAGAUCUCAUUUCAUUUAUUCUCAUCGUCGAAGAUUGUAGUUUAUUAAUUUGAGAUUCUGGAAAUUGUAUUUGUACCCUUUUUCAAGAAAUAAAAGUACCCAUUCAUUCUUUAA